rnacentral:rRNA from 1 species
UCGAGCGAGAAGACGUAGCCAAUACGUUUGUAAAGCGGCGAACGGGUGAGGAAUACAUGGGUAACCUACCCUAGAGUGGGGAAUAACUAGCCGAAAGGUUAGCUAAUACCGCGUACGCUCCCUGGACUUCGGUUCAGGGGGGAAAGCGCUACCGAGGGUAGCGCGCUCUUGGAUGGGCUCAUGUCCUAUCAGCUUGUUGGUGAGGUAACGGCUCACCAAGGCUUCGACGGGUAGCUGGUCUGAGAGGACGAUCAGCCACACUGGCACUGCGACACGGGCCAGACUCCUACGGGAGGCAGCAGUAAGGAAUAUUGCGCAAUGGGCGAAAGCCUGACGCAGCGACGCCGCGUGGGGGAUGAAGGUCUUCGGAUUGUAAACCCCUUUCGGGAGGGAAGAUGGAGUGGGGUAACCCACUCGGACGGUACCUCCAGAAGCAGCCACGGCUAACUUCGUGCCAGCAGCCGCGGUAAUACGAAGGUGGCAAGCGUUAUUCGGAUUUACUGGGCGUACAGGGAGCGUAGGCGGUUCGGUAAGCCCUCUGUGAAAUCUUCAGGCUUAACCUGGAAAAGUCGGAGGGGACUGCCGGGCUAGAGGACGGGAGAGGAGCGCGGAAUUCCCGGUGUAGCGGUGAAAUGCGUAGAGAUCGGGAGGAAGGCUGGUGGCGAAGGCGGCGCUCUGGAACGUUUCUGACGCUGAGGCU